GCUGUAUGUUGCUUUGUCGCUUCAGAUUUAUCUGGAGAGGAAAGUCCGGACAAUAAAGAGUGCCGCGCCACCUAACGGGUGGAUGUUGUGUAAUAGCAACAGAGAUAGUGCCACAGAAAAUAACCACCGCCACUUCGGUUGCGGAAAGGGUGAAAACGUGUGGUAAGAGCACACGAAUUGCGUUAGUAAUAGCGCAGUUGGGUAAACCUGGCGGAUUGAAAGCCCAUGUAUAUCAGCGCUUGAGGGCUACUCGCUCGAGCUGAGGGGUUGGGUGCAUCAGGCAUCAAGUGAUUGAUGUCGCAGUUAAAUGACAAAGGUCUUUGAGCAAUCAAAGGAACAGAAUCCGGCUUAUAGGCAUACAGUGAAU
rnacentral:RNase_P_RNA from 1 species